UCUCUCCUGACGAACAGUCAAUGUCCAUCAGGUCCUUCAGCGACUCCUCGACCAUCAACCAUUUGUGAAAGGAGAGAAAUGCGAAGUCCACGUGUCAGAGUGGCCAUCCCCAUCCAACCGCAGGGAGGUUCAACGGUUCUUGGGGUGCACCGGAGUCUGAGCAGAGCCUCACCAGCGGCACCUCAUCUAUCAUCAAGCAUCUACAUAUACUCCUCCUGACCACCUCCACGUCGCCAGACCGUAGUCUCUGCUACCACUCCUCCUGUUCUGGCUCCAGUCCCUGCUCCUUCCCUUAGCUACUAACCUGCUAUCCUAUAACCCUGCCUCACACCCCUUACCUGGGACAAGCUUCUGGACCUGCCACCUUUACCCCCCAUCACUCCAGCCUAAAGUUCAGCCUGGC